rnacentral:rRNA from 1 species
AUUGAACGCUGGCGGCAGGCCUAACACAUGCAAGUCGAGCGGAUGAGAGGAGCUUGCUUCUCGAUUCAGCGGCGGACGGGUGAGUAAUGCCUAGGAAUCUGCCUGGUAGUGGGGGACAACGUUUCGAAAGGAACGCUAAUACCGCAUACGUCCUACGGGAGAAAGCAGGGGACCUUCGGGCCUUGCGCUAUCAGAUGAGCCUAGGUCGGAUUAGCUAGUUGGUGAGGUAAUGGCUCACCAAGGCGACGAUCCGUAACUGGUCUGAGAGGAUGAUCAGGCACACUGGAACGGAGACACGGUCCAGACUCCUACGGGAGGCAGCAGUGGGGAAUAUUGGACAAUGGGCGAAAGCCUGAUCCAGCCAUGCCGCGUGUGUGAAGAAGGUCUUCGGAUUGUAAAGCACUUUAAGUUGGGAGGAAGGGUUGUAGAUUAAUACUCUGCAAUUUCGACGUUACCGACAGAAUAAGCACCGGCUAACUCUGUGCCAGCCGCCGCGGUAACAC